rnacentral:rRNA from 1 species
UACGGAGGGUGCAAGCGUUAUCCGGAUUUACUGGGUUUAAAGGGUGCGUAGGCGGGUUGUUAAGUCAGUGGUGAAAGAUUCGAGCUUAACUCGGAAACUGCCAUUGAUACUGAUGACCUUGAAUACAGUUGAGGUAGGCGGAAUGUGUCAUGUAGCGGUGAAAUGCUUAGAUAUGACACAGAACACCGAUUGCGAAGGCAGCUUGCUAAACUGUGAUUGACGCUGAGGCACGAAAGCGUGGGGAUCAAACAGG